UACGUAGGCAGCGAGCGUUGUUCGGAGUUACUGGGCGUAAAGAGUGCGUAGGCGGUGCUCCAAGUCUGGUGUGAAAAUCUCCCGGCUUAACCGGGAGGGUGCGCCGGAAACUGGGGUGCUGGAGUGUGGGAGAGGUAAGCGGAAUUCCCGGUGUAGCGGUGAAAUGCGUAGAUAUCGGGGAGGAACACCUGCGGUGUAGACGGCUUACUGGACCAUAACUGACGCUGAGGCACGAAAGCGUGGGUAGCAAACAGG
rnacentral:rRNA from 1 species